UACCAGUCUCCGAGUGGUGUGGAUGUUUGAUUGGGCCUAAAGCAUCCGUAGCUGGCUAGGUCAGUCCCUUGUUAAAUCCACCGAAUUAAUCGUUGGAUUGCGGGGGAUACUGCUUGGCUAGGGGACGAGAGAGGCAGACGGUAUUUUCGGGGUAGGGGUGAAAUCCUAUAAUCCCGGGAAGACCACCAGUGGCGAAGGCUGUCUGCUAGAACGCGCCCGACGGUGAGGGAUGAAAGCUGGGGGAGCGAACCGG
rnacentral:rRNA from 1 species